UGGUGACAAUAUCAAGAAUUAUAGUAGUGUUAACAAUCCCAUUUCAACAAUUGAUUGCACACACAUGUACAAGGCACAAUCUUUCUUUCACACCCUUGAAAAGCCAAGUUUUUGAUUAGAAACAUGCAAUUCUAAAUCCAGCAUUCUAUCAAUAUAAUGUGGCUUAGUAGUAUAUCUGUAACAUUAAUCCACAGAGUUUGUCCAUUUGUGGUUUAGAAAAACUGAUUUCAGAUGGACAGUGGUGUUGAGCUUUGGGCUCACAUGACCCCUAUUGGCAAACCAGGUUGUGGGUGAAUAUGAUUUUAGGGUUGUCAUCUGUGGAGUCAAGGUUAGGGUAGAUGGUUUUGCAGCCCCCUCCCUCCAAGCUCAAUGUUUGUGUGUGUACUUCUUUCUUUCUUUAUUUUAUAUUUUAUAAAGUUGCAUUAGCUACACACAGUAGAGAAAGUGGCAUUGAAGUGUUGUGUACACAA
rnacentral:lncRNA from 1 species